AGCGAACGCUGGCGGCAGGCCUAACACAUGCAAGUCGAACGGACCCUUCGGGGUUAGUGGCGGACGGGUGAGUAACACGUGGGAACGUGCCUUUAGGUUCGGAAUAGCUCCUGGAAACGGGUGGUAAUGCCGAAUGUGCCCUUCGGGGGAAAGAUUUAUCGCCUUUAGAGCGGCCCGCGUCUGAUUAGCUAGUUGGUGGUGUAACGGACCACCAAGGCACCGAUCAGUAGCUGGUCUGAGAGGAUGAUCAGCCACAUUGGGACUGAGACACGGCCCAAACUCCUACGGGAGGCAGCAGUGGGGAAUCUUGCGCAAUGGGCGAAAGCCUGACGCAGCCAUGCCGCGUGAAUGAUGAAGGUCUUAGGAUUGUAAAAUUCUUUCACCGGGGACGAUAAUGACGGUACCCGGAGAAGAAGCCCCGGCUAACUUCGUGCCAGCAGCCGCCGUAACAC
rnacentral:rRNA from 1 species